rnacentral:rRNA from 1 species
AUGGUCGGGUGGUUAGCAGGACAAAGUAUUUCCCAACAAAAGUUCCGAACCGAAACGCAAGGCGGCACUCCGGUUGUUGACCCCGCCCCCGCCGUCGCCGCCGCCGGGUCUCCCUUCUCCUGCUCACAGCUGCUGACGCCCCAUCAGAGCACUGGCAGCAACCGCAUCAUGGAAGGGUCGAGGGAAGACGAUCCGAUAUGCGUCAGUGACAGCGAAGAUUUUCAGAUCGGCAGUAGGAGGAUAUCGACACCUGUGCUCAAAACGGAAAAACAGUUCAAAUGGAAACCAAUGGGUUAUCUCUCAAGACUCAGGAAAUCGAGUCAAAAAGAAAGUGGGAGACAGCCGCAGACCUCAGCAGCCGCUUUUGCAGUAACCAACAUGAAAGUCCAUGGGAAGGUGGUACAGCGAAGCACAUCGCAUGCCAUUAGUCUGGGCACCAAGGUCACUCUUCGCAAGAGUGGCCUCGAUGGAAUGAUGUGUCCUCAAAAGUUAAGAGCUAUAUCUGCCAACCUGUCAAAAGUAGUAGAAGAGUGGCCUCUAUGGAAUGAUGGUUCACUCACUACCUCACUAGGGAGGCAAAGCAGUAACCAACAUAAGAGUCCAUGGGAAGGCCGCACAACGGAGCACAUCGCAUGCCAUUCCUCUGGGUACCAAGGCCAAUAUUCGCAAGAUUGGCUUCUAUGGAAUUAUGGUUUGCUCACUACCUUGCUAGGGUGGCAAAAAGAUUUCCGCUUUUGCAGUAACCAACAUGAAAGUCCACGGGAAGGCGGCAAAACAGAGCACAUCGCAUGCCAUUCCUCUGGGUACCAAGGCCACUAUUCUCAAGAGUGGCCUCCACGGAAUUAUGGUUCGCUCACUACCUCACUAGGGAGGCAAAAAGAUUUCCACUUUUGCAGUAGUCAACGUGAAGGUCCAUGGGAAGGCGGUAGAACAGAGCAUCAGGACAAAAUGAAUGGGAUAAUCACUUGUUUGGUUUGUGGCAAGGAAGGACAUUACAGUUGUGACUGCCCUUUCAAGGAUCAGGAGCACAAAGUCUUUUGCACACUCUGUAGCAAAAAUGGCCACUGUAGCAUGUGGUGUUGCCAGCAGAACAAGUCGGAGAGUCGCGCUUGCACCCGCUGUGGAGAGAUAGGGCAUACUGCUAGUACACAUGGUCUCGGUUGCUCAAGCUGUGACGAAUAUCAUCUGGAUGGAGAGUGCCGACUGAGCGAAGUUAAAUGCUUUGUUUGUGAAUGUCAGGAUCAUUAUCUUGCUCAGUGCCCCUUGAAUUUCCAAGGUGCUCUGCGGCUUGCACUAUCAAAACGAGGCAGCACAUCAUCUACACCUGCCAAGUGUUCCGCAAAAUCAGAAGAAAAAUGUCCUCAGAACAGCCCCAGCGUGUCCGAAGAAUUUGAAGAGAGCAGCACUAUAGCUACAGCCACCAACUUGUCCAAAGAAUUAGAAGGCCAGGACCCUGGUACUGCCAAACAAUCAUCAGAAACGAAGCCGAUAUUGUACGAUCAGUGUUGCCCCUCAAAAGCAAAAGUACUGACCUCCAACAAGUCUAGUCCAAUGGUUAGAACAUGUAAAACAAAAACAGAAGGGGAGAAAAGGAUGUGCUCUACAUGCCGUGAAGAAGGUCACUAUGCCCGUAUGUGUCCGCAGAAGUUCGGAGCUAUAUCUGGCAACACGUCAAAAGAAUUAGAAGAGAGCAGCACUAUAGCUACAUCCUCCAACAUGUCCAAAGUAUUGGAAGAACAGGACCCUGGUACUGCUAAACAUUCAUCAGAUAUGAAGUGGGUUCUUCGAUGUGUUAGCUGUGGUCAAGAAGGGCACAAGGCCAGGAGCUGUCCAACACGAGUGUUUGUAUGCUCCUUAUGCAAUGAAGAAGGCCACAAAGCCAAGAAAUGCCCUCAGAAGCGCCAGAAGCGUUAA